CAGCAGCCGCGGUAAUACGGAGGGUGCAAGCGUUAAUCGGAAUUACUGGGCGUAAAGCGCACGCAGGCGGUCUGACAAGUCAGAUGUGAAAUCCCCGGGCUUAACCUGGGAACUGCAUUUGAAACUGUCAGGCUGGAGUCUUGUAGAGGGGGGUGGAAUUCUAGGUGUAGCGGUGAAAUGCGUAGAGAUCUGGAGGAAUACCGGUGGCGAAGGCGGCCCCCUGGACAAAGACUGACGCUCAGGUGCGAAAGCGUGGGGAGCAAACAGGAUUAGAUACCCCUGUAGUCCCUGUCUCUUAUAC
rnacentral:rRNA from 1 species